rnacentral:tRNA from 2 species
GCUGGUGUAGCUCAGUUGCAGCAGAGCAAUCGCCUUGUAAGCGAUGGGUUGCAGGUUCAACUCCUGUCACCAGCCCCA